AGCUAAUGAGAGGAAUAUAUAUGACCAUUUCAUAUGUUCCUGCUGUGAUUUCAAUGGACAAAUGAGUUACCUACUGCUGACUUAGGCAACUAUUGCCAAAUAUCUUCACAACAAAGGUCAACAUGAACUUGCACUGCAGCAGCUCAGCCAGUAGAGAGAAAAUGGAGCAUAGCAAUAUCAUCUAGCCAGAGAGCCCAGCCCACAAGUGAGAAUCGGGGCAUGAGACAUCUGGAGUACAACUCCCAUGAGGAGCUACGGCUGCUCAAGCAGACACAGGUACCUGAGCCUUCAAACAAGAGUUGGGGUUUCCAGUUGUCUGGACCCCUGUGCUAGUAACUCUUGAGUGAUCUAUCCAGACUGCAUUGCACAUAACUGAGUGCAGUAUUCCUGCUAUCCGUGUUUGAGAGAUGUGAUUCGGCACACCUAGAUGGCAGGAGAGAGACUGGUCCUUCCAACACCUCCUAUUGUGACAAUGAUUGCUGGCAUCACAAGAGUAAGGUUAAGAUUAUGUGAUGAACUGAACUGUUCUGAAGGAUCUGUGAAGUGCUCUCAAUCAUCUCCAUUUCCUAACUUGCACAAGUGAGUGUUUUUUCCCUCUUUGUCUGCAACCAGAUAGUAAUGAGAUUUCCAUUAUGGCCAGAAAUCAAUCUGUGCCUUUGAUUUUCUUCCAACCUACUUCUCCCCCAAAUAAACAAGGAUUUGAUUUGCUGUUUCUGAAAUGGGCAGAAAGAAAAUGCUUGACUUUUAUGCCUACAGUGAGCUAGUUAUUUCCGUUUGUUAUUUCUGACUUCUCACAGAGAAAAAUAAUGGAAGGUUUCUUUUAAAUAUCAGUUUAAUAUUUUAGCAGCAGGGUUACAAUUCCCUCUGUUACAACUAUUUCUGCUAUAUAUUGUGACAGACCCAGACCAGUGGGGUACAGGAGUCCGGUAGAGGGCAAAUAUA